rnacentral:rRNA from 1 species
UGAGCAAUCUGCCCUUCUCAUCGGAAUAACCAUUGGAAACGAUGGCUAAUGCCGAAUAUGACCUCGGAUCACAUGUUCUGAGGUGGAAAGCUCCGGCGGAGAAGGAUGAGCUCGCGGCCUAUCAGCUUGUUGGUGAGGUAAUGGCUCACCAAGGCGACGACGGGUAGCCGGCCUGAGAGGGUGACCGGCCACACGUGGGACUGAGACACGGCCCAGACUCCG